GCGGUUUGAUUCCAGCGGCGGCGACGACGACGACGACGGCGGUGAUGAUGAUAGUGAUAGUGGUGAUGAUGAUGCCAGUGGCGGCGACGACGCCUACGACGACGAAAGAGCCAUCCCGCCUCGGUUUCUAGAAGUAUCUGAGAGACAAGCAGCAGUAGAAGCAACAACGCCAAGCGGUUCAUCUUGGUUGAUCUGACUUCAAAUGAACAGUUGCCUGAACGUUUAUUCCUAACUGCUGGCAAACACCAAGAUUCUAAUAAUCUUUUCCGGUUGGAUAAUGCGAAGAACUGCCUGAAUGGUUCCUCGAACUCUGUUAUGUUGUUUUGAAGCAAAUAAUACUUUGGGAGCAGUCGCUAAAUUGUCAGGAAACAAAUCGCAGAUGAAUGUAUCAACAUGCAAGUUCAAAAAUGCAACUGACAAUGCAUCUAAGGUUGGCCAUCAAAUACAAUACAGGUGCUGGUGUCAAUGUAACGUUUUCUAUUUUAGAGGUUUUAACAGACAAGGUCAUGCUAUGUUAUGAAAGUUAUAAUAUGCUCAAAUUAUACAUGCUGUAUUCAUUCAUUUAUUCAUUCCAUUUUUAAUGCCUGCUUGCAGUACUCCGGUUUAUAAUAUUAUAAAACAUAUAAAUAUGGCAUAAGUAAUUUUAUUUGCGAAAAAUUGUAGCAGUUAAGUAAAAAAGAAUUGCAUAUGUGUUUAUUUUCAUUGACAAGAUUACAAAAAAUGAACAACACAUUGAACUAAAGCAUUUGUGUUGGACAAAUUGGAAGCACGUAACAAUUAAAAAGUAAUAUACCAGUACUUAAAUAGCAACAAUAUUUAAAGUUUAUUCUGUACUCUGGCUGCACUGGCAUUGAACACUGCAUGUGCCUCAUUAAAAUGGGGCUGGGUGGCAGCUUUGGCACGCUGGAACCAUUCGCGCAACUUCGGGUGGCCUUCAAAGAUGUCUCUACCACUCAUAGUUGGUUGCAU